CUCCGCGCGCCUGCCCACGCGCUCCGGUACUCGCUGCUCGCGGCUGGCCGGCUCGGGAUUCCGGGCUUUCUUCCCGAGACCGCGUCCCCCAGCUGGGCCGAAGGUGGACGCUCAGGGGCUGGAGGCUCAGCGGAAUCCCCUGCGUUCAGUAGCCCCGCUCUCCCCUGUCCCGAAGGAUUACUCUGCCCCUCAGCGGUUCCAGUGCCCUCAAAGCAAUCUGUCUCUGAAGUACUGGCUAUCUUCUGAGCGUGUGCCAGAAGAUCCAGCUUUGUUGAAAAGCGAAGCCGUUAGUCCCUUAAUACAAAGGAGACAAAUUGAUUUAUGCCUGGGGCACCAUCACCAAAAGAAGAGGAAAUGGAUGCAAGCCUUCCCAGAACAACAGACCUUGAACCCCCAGCCUAAAAAUCAGAUUGCAUAUUGGAUGUUUCUUCCUGGAAGAAUGUCAAACUGAACAAGUCUGAAACUGAUCUUUGUGCAUCACAACCCAGCCAAACCUGUUACUUCUCCUACAUUCCCUUUCUUGGUGAUUGGCUUGUCCACCCACUCAGCCACACCAGCCAAAAUGCUGGGAGUCAUUUGGAUUCCACCGCCUCCCCCACUUCCCAUGACCCAACAGUCCACCUGCUUCCCACGGCCUCCCUUUCCUGCUGCCACUGCACCAGUUCACGCCACUUCUUGGAGGACAUCUCGGGGUCUAUCGCCCAGCUCCCUGUCUUGGGCUGCACUGCUUCCAGAGUGCUUGCUUUCUUUUCUUUCUUCCUCUUUGUUCUUUUGCUUUUGGGUCCAAGCUUCACUUUUUAAAAAUGACAUAAUCUGUUUCAAAUAUACAAUUGAGUUCAGAGAAUAAUAAACAAUUGUGUUCUACUAGUUUUAUCAACAUCUCAACAUUAUCAUGUCAUGUUUGCCAGUUUAUUUAAAGAAAUAUAUAUAAAUUUAUGUAUUUAAUGUAUAUUUCAACUGCCAGAGGUCACUGGUUUGAAUCCAGCUCCACUACUUACUUACUACAUAUGUAUUAAUACAUAUUAUAUAAAAAUAUAGGUAUUGAAACCCACCUUGACUAGCUCGUCCCCUAGUCCCUGAGUCCCCCUUUCCCAGGGCAUUCUCAUGAAUUUGCUAUUAUCAAUCUCACGUAUGUUAAUAUUUUCUGUAGACAUUUAUAUGUUCAUAAACAAUUCAAAGUGCACUUUGUAGGUUUUUAAACUUUACUAAAAUAACGUCAUACUGUAUAUAUUCUCUGCAGCCUGCUUCCUUCACUCAAUUUUGUUUUUUCUUCUUUUUGCCACAUGUUGCCCUAAUUCAUUCAUGUUAACUACCAUAUGGUAUUCUAUUAUGGCUCUAUACUACAAUCUAUUUAUUUAUUCUCUGUGGAAGAACAUUUAGGGUUUUUUGCUAAUACAAACAGUGGAGCAUUGCUGUUUUUGAACAGAUGUUUGAGAGUUUCUCCAGGCUAAAUUCUCAGGAACGGGAUUACUUUCCUGGUCUCCCGAGACAGAGACAAAUAGUUUCCUGCCUCCUUUUCUCUAAUCCUCACUGCCGCCAGAACAAUUGUGCUGAAAUGCCCAUCUGAUCCUGUCACUCUCCUGCUUAAGUGCCUUUCAUGAAACAAACCUGCCAUUCCUCAAUAGGACACAAGGGGCCUGUGCUCUGGGCCCUGCUGCUUCUGCAGCCUUCUCUCCCCUCUCCACCCCACCCGUCACCCAGUGCUCUACCAAUUGCUCCCUGCAUCCCUAACAGACCCCAGGGAUCCUGUCUCCCAAACCCUUGCGCCAUCUUCUCUCUUUCCAGGACUGCCCUACCCUCACUCAUCUCCUCCAGCCUUCAUACCAGGAAAUACCUAAUUUACAGGGUGGGGUCUUGCUCUGUUGUCCAGGCUGGAGUGCAAUGGCGCAAUAACAGCUCACUGCAGCCUUGACCUCCCAGACUCAGGUGAUCCUCCCACCUCAGCCUCCUAAGUAGCUGGGACCACAAGUGUGGGCCAUGACACCUGGCUAAUUUUUAAAAUUAUUUGUAGAGACAGCGUCUCCUAUGUUGCCCAGACUGGUCUCCAACUCCUGGACUCAAGCACUAAUUGUUUUUUGAGAGUCAUGUUCUCAUGGACUUUUCCUCAACUGCUAGAGAUCACUGGUUUGAAUCCAACUCUACUACUUACUAACUCAGGCACAUCUUUAAACCUCUCUGAGCUCAGUUUCUUCAUCAAUAAAAUGAAGAAAAUAAUAGCACUCACCACAUAUGCCUGUCAUAUGGGUUGAAUUUGAUUAUCAAUACUUUGAUUAUUGAAUUUGAUUGUUGAUAUAGAGCACUUUAUAUAGUGCUUGACAAUAAAUGUUAGCUCUUGUCUAUUCAUUCAUGAAAGCAUUUUAUUAGAAUUAUGAUUUUUUGUUGUUGUUAGCUAUUUUUUUACAUAUUUCUCUCCCUCUACUAGCAGUAAGUCUUUCAAAGUCUAGAACCAUGUUUCAUUCACUUUAUCAACAGCACAGUCUCUGGCAUAGAAAAGGCACAUAGUAAAUGUUGAGUGAAUAAAUGAAUGGUUCUUGGGGCUCUCAGAACUGCUAGUUUAUUAUUAUUUAUUUAUUUAUUUGUUUUUGAGAUGGAGUCUCACUCUGUCGCCCGGGCUGGAGUACAGUGAUGCGAUCACGGCUCACUGCAACCUCUGCCUCCUGGGUUCAAGCUAUUCUCCUGCCUCAGCCUCCUGAGUAGCUGGGAUUACAGGCGUGCGCAACCACACCCAGCUAAUUUUUGUCUUUUUAGUAGAGACAGGGUUUUGCCAUGUUGACCAGACUGGUCUCAAACUCCUGACUCCAGGUAAUCCACCUGCCUCGGCCUCCCCAAGUGCUGGGAGAACAGGCGUGAGCCACCAUGCCUGGGCUGAACUGCUAGUUUUUUUUGUUUUUUUGUUUUUGUUUUUUUUAAGGAUUUAAUAUUUUCUUAUAGAUGGUAUCACAUUUCCACAGAAAAAUGCAACUUCUAGUGACACUAUUUUUGUUUCCUUUUACCAGCAAAGCUUUCUUACAGUAGUUGUAUUUCUUUAGGUUGAUAAUGAUUUCCACAAGCCUAUUAGUAAAUAGUGUUAAAAGUACUUACUUUGCCACUUGGUUGUUGCCUACAGAAAAGAUAUACUUAAAAACAAACAAAAAGGCCCAGCGCGGUGGCUCACACCUGUAAUCCCAGCACUUUGGGAGGCCGAGGCGGGCAGAUUGCCUGAGCUCAGCAGUUCGAGACCAGCCUGGGCAACACAGUGAAAUCCUGUCUCUACUAAAAUACAGAAAAAUUAGCCAAGCGGCAUGCACCUGUAAUCCCAGCUACUCAGGAGGCUGAGGCAGGAGAAUCGUUUGAAUCUGGGAGGCGGAGAUUGCAGUGAGCCAAAAUUGUACCACUGCACCCCAGCCUGGGUGACAGAGCAAGACUCUGUCUUCAAAAAAAAAAAGCUUUACGGCUGAUAUGGUUUUGUUGCCUACUUACAACCUUACUGAGGUAAAAAUUCAUACCUAGAAUUGUAAUGAAAAGACAGGGGCAAUUUCUGAAAACUGAAGGUCUCUUAAUGUAGAUUUACCAGUAGAAAAAGCACAUAGAAAUGCUUCUGACCUAGAGGGAGAGUAAUUGGAAAGGAGAGAUGACAAUAGAAAGAUGACAUUCUUUUAGCCUUCCUCCUCUGUCUCAAUCUUCCUCAGUACCUGGAAACCAGAGACCAAACCCCCAGACUGGGUCUUGCAGGGCUCCUCAAACAUUCUGCACCAUCAACCAGACUGGAUUCUCCCCUUAGCUCCUGCCCAGGUACCCUGCCCUGUCACACUGCUGUCUCCCUGCAGCGCAGUGGCCCUCUCUGAACCCUGAAACAACUGCAGCUAGCUUCCCUUCUCAAGCUCUCUGCAUCCCCCACUCCCACCCCCAGCGCAGGACUGCCUAACAGCAACAGCUCUCCUGAAGCAGAUGCCACUCUGCACUGGGUUUUCUGGGACUAAUGAUACCCAAACAUGCUUGAGCGUGCUGGCUGUUUGGGCAUUGCACCCUGGAUCACUAUACUCUUGCCAAGCCAGCCCCUGAGGCAGGAGUGGUGUCCCAGUAGGGAACUACUCCUAGUUUCCAGGACCAUGCUGAAGCUCAGCUUCCCCUCCCCGCUGGCCCCAGGCAGCCAAAUCUCAGCACCUUCAAGCCUGGAUACCAUCCAGUUCCCACCACUGUCACUUCUUAUCUGUCACACUUUUUCUGUUUUCUCCUUUCUUGCCUUUUUUUGAACUGAGUUCCCUCUGUUUCUGCCUCCAUUUCCUUACUCCAAAGGAAUAAGGAACAGAUAUAUAGAUAUAUAGAUACAUAUAGAUAUAGAUAUAGCUGUUUUAAAUAAAAACCCAUCAAAACAAUACAAAUACCUUAGAUAGCUUAUAAAUUAGUUCUUUUUUAGCUCCACAAAUAACAUACCAGAAAAUUGACCCACAUACAUUUCUGUUUCUUUCCUUGUGAUUCCUUCUUAUGUCUCAGACCUCUGAUCUGGAGCUAUAUUUCAUUUGUGUCGAUGAUAUCCUUUAGAAUUCCCUUUGGUACAGGACUCUUGGUGGUAAGCUCAUAUAGUUUUUGUUUAUAUGAAAAUGUAUUUUUUCCUUCAUUCUUGAAAAAUCAUUUCACAAGAUAUGCAAUUUUAGAUCGACAGUUAUUUUUUCUGCUGAGAAUUUAGCCAUCAGUCAUCCCUUACAAGUAAUCUGUCCUUCGUUCUGGGUGCUUUUCAUAUCUCCUCUCUUAUUGUUGCUCCACAAUUUCACUGGUGGAAAGUCACACCCUGUGAUGUGGAUUUCUUUUUAUUGAUGCUACUUGAGAUAUAUCAGAAAACUUGAAUUUGAGGAUUGGUGUUUUUCAUCACUUCUGGAAAAUUCUCAGCCAUUAACUUUUCAAAUAUUGGCUCAGCUUUAUUUCCUCUCUACUUUCCUUUUGGAACUCCCAUUAGGCAUAUGUUAGAUCUUUUCACUUUACGUUUCUUACCAUCUCUUUCGUAUUUUCCGUAUUCCUGUCUUUAAUUGCUGCCCCCUGCUUAAUUUUUUCAGCUCCAGCUUCCAAUUUCUCUUUUGCAGUAUGAAGUUGAAUUUUUAAUUUCAUUUUUUUAUUUCUAGAAGUUUUAAUUUCUUUAAAUGUUUUAAGUAAGAAUGUAAUAGAAUAGAGCAGGAUAGAAUAGGAUCCAUAUCUGAUAAUCCCAAUAUGUGAAAUAUUUACAGAUUUGGUGCUAUAGUCUGUUGUUUCUGCUGGCUCUUGAUCAUGGUGCUUUGCUUCCUGUGUUUUGUUUUGUUUUGUUGUAAUUUUGUUUGUUUUACAAUACAUUUAUAUUACUUGGAAUCUCUUCAGUGGAAAUUCUUUCAGAUUUGGGUUAAAAGUAGGUUUCUUGAAAGAAUAUUUAUAUUUGCUUCUUCCAGGUACUUCAUUCACUUAGUAGCCAGGAUCACUUUAAAAAAUUGACUUGAGGUUUUCAGGACAUGUAGGUGGUAUUAAUUUAGGCUGAAAAGGCCAGGCGCAGUGGCUCAUGUCUGUAAUCCCAGCACUUUCGGAGGCCGAGUUGGGCAGAUCACUUGAGGUCAGGAGUUCGAGACCAGCCUGGCCAACAUGGUGAAACCCCAUCUCUACCAAAAACAUAAAAAAUUAGCCAGGUGUGGCGGCACAUGCCUGUAAUCCCAGCUACUCGGGAGGCUAAGGCAGGAAAAUGGCUUGAACCUGGGAGGCAGAGGUUGCAGUGAGCCAAGAUCAUGCCACUGCACUCCAGCCUGGGCGACAGAGCGAGACUCCAUCUCAAAAAAAAAAUAAAAAUAAAAAUAAUUUAGCCUGAAAAAUCACAUGAAGAUUGGCUUGUGGAUGUGAAUUCUCAGGGAGAAAUUUUUUUCCCCUUCCAUCUAGCAUCAAGCUGGUGUGAACCCCAAAAAUCUGAGACAGGUCUCAGUUAAUUUAGAAAGUUUAUUUUGCCAAGGUUGAGGACACAUGCCCGUGACACAGCCUCAGACAUGUGCCCAAGGAGGUCAGAGCACAGUUUGGUUUUAUGCAUUUUGGGGAGAUAUGAGACAUCAAUCAACAUAUGCAAGAUGAACAUUGGAUUGGUCUAGAAAGGCGGGACAACUCAAAGCAAAGGCAGGAAGACUCGAAGCUGGGAGGGGGCUUCCAGGUCAUAGGUAAAUAAGGGACAAAUAGUUGCAUUCUUUAGAGUUUCUGAUUCGCCCCUCCAAAGGAGGCAAUCAAAUAUGCAUUUAUGUCAGUGAGCACAGGGGUGACUUUCAAUAGAAUGGGAGGCAGGUUGGCCCUAAGCAGUUCCCAGCUUGAUUUUUCCCUUUAGCUUAGCGAUUUGGGGGCCCCAAGAUUGAUUCUCCUUUCAUACUGGAGACAGACAAGGUUUUUUAUUGUCCCCUUUUGUGAGGCAGGUAUGUCUAGUUCGCCCUUAACCUAAAAAUAUAGGUUUUUUUUUUUUUUUGCCCAACAUUUUUACAAGCACUCCCAUUAGACUCCCCACUUUUAUUGGGCCCUGGGUUUCAUCUCCUGUCUCGUGUCUGUGUGGUUGUCAAAUCUGAAGCUUAUUGUCACCAGGAUUCAGCAGUUACCCUUGAGAUGAAAACUGCUCUACUUGCCUCUCUGAUUCUCACUUUCCCUUUGUUUUUGACUUCAGAAAUUCCUUACAGUCUUGCCAGCUCAGCAAUGCAUUGAAAAAUGUUUCAUAUUUUAUCCAGUAUUUGUGGUUGUUCUCAUAUGAGUGUUGUUCAGGCUAUCUAAUCAACCAUGCUGUCAGAAUAGAAGUCCUCAUUUCUUACUUAUUUUUCCCACUUUAAAAAUGUUUUAUUAUAUAUUGCAGGUAGCUAUUUUAUUUGUCAGAAUCUAAUGUGUUCAGUGUAGGGUUGCCAGAUUUAGUAAAUAAAAAUAUAAGAUACCUAGUUAAAACUGAAUUUCAGAGAAAUAAUGAAUUUUUUAGGAUAAGUCCCAUUUAAUAUUUAAGACAUACUAAAAAAUUAUUUGUUAUUUAGCCAAAGUUCAGGCUUAAGUGGACACCCUAUAUUUUGCCCUAGUUCUGAGUCUAAUCUAAGGUAAGUGAUAAAAAUUAUUUGGACCAAGAAAUAGUUACCCCUUUAGGGGAAGUACAUACUAUGUGAUUAUUUGCAGCAUUAUCUACACAAUUGCUCUAACAUAAAAACAAAUGUAAAUCUUUAAUCACAAAAGUAAUACAUGUAUGGUAAAAAAAAUGUAAAUAAAAUGUCCACAUUUCUUUUUAAAAGUUGCCCAUUUUUUAUGAGUACUGCUAAAAUCUAAUAUUCUUAAAAAAUCAAACUCAGACCUGGUAAACAAUGAAAUAGUUAAUUUUAUCUCUAAUAGUUGGGUAAACCAUAGCUAACAAUUGCUAAAACACCUCAUGUGCCAUAUCCUAGCUAAUGACAUAGCAAGUAAUUUAUUUAGAAUAAGUAAAGACAAUAAAUGCUAAAUUCUAAAAUACACCCAACACUAUUUUACUGCAAGAGCAGUUACUACAGCCUAUACUUCCAUAUGUGUGAGCACAGAUUGAGUUGUUCAGCAAAGUUAACCAAACAAGUCAGCUCUAAUAAUGUUACUGGCAGCUGGUCACAACCUCAAAUGAUUUGUGAUCUAACUCAACCAUGAGUAGUCAUUGAUGAGGCAUUAUUCAGAACAGAUAAAUUGAAAAGAUAGUUUUAGGUUGGGCGCUGGUUCAUGCCUAUAAUUGCAGCACUUUGGGAGGCCGAGGCAGGAGGAUCACUUGAGGUCUGGAGUUAGAGACCAGCCUGGCCAACAGGGUGAAACCCUGUCUCUACUAAAAAUACAAAAAUUAACCAAGUGUGGUGGUGGGCGCUUGUAGUCCCAGCUACUCAGGAGGCUGAGGCAGCAGAAUCGCUUGAACCUAGGAGGCAGAGGUUGCAGUGAGCCGAGAUUGCACCACUGCAUUCCAGCCUGGGCUACAGAAUGAGACUCCAUCUCAAAAAAAAAAAAAAAGAAAAAGAAAAAGAAAAGAAAAGAAAUAGUUUUAAUCACUCACGGUUAUUGACUAGCAAUAAAAUGAAGUCAUAAAAUGACAAGGUCAUAGCAAUGUGAAAUAUAACUCGGAGAAAGAGAAAUAGGAAACAGAAAUUUUUCAAAGCCACGAAACAUAACUUGAGAAAUUUGGCUUAUGACCUGCACUGAUAGUCUACCUACCUCUAGAGAGGUAUCGCCAGUAAAUAUUCAGUACUUGUAUUCAAUACAUGGUAUUAAAUACAGAAUAAUUGAGAACAAAGUAUGUAUCAUACAGUCCCACCUAAGGAAUUUAUCACAUCUUGAAGGCUUUGAAGACUUUGUUUAAGUUCCUUGAUCUUAAAGUGUCUUAAUUACAGAUAGUAUUUGCUUUUAUUCAUUACAUUAGAGUUUCUGACCUACUCAUUUCUGACAUAUCAUAAUUACCUUAUUCUCAUAAAAUAUCUGUGACUGUAUUACUCUCCUACCCUUUACAUCUGUACCUGUGUUCACGGAGCCUUACAUUGCUCAUACAGUAUGAGCAAUGAUGCUUGAUUGUUACCCCAAACAGCUAUAGAAAAUAUUUUUGAUCCUUCUUCAUUUUAAGAACAAAGGUAUAAUAACAACAGAUAUAAAUGCCAUCUCAACAUGUUGUUGCCAUCUCAACAACAGAUAUAAAAAAGCAACUAUUUCAGGCACUUUAAGUUAGUAGUAUUGAAGCUAAUAUAAGAUAUAAAUACAGUUCUGAUUUUUGUGGAAACUACCUAUGAGGGUAUUUGGGCAUGGAGAGGACAAAAAGUCUUGCAUUCAGAAUUGCUGUGUUUUAACAUGUGUCUAACAGUAUGAAAUUCUGCAUUAUGGCCAGGCGUGGUGGCUCAUGACUGUAGUCCCAGCACUUUGGGAGGCCGAGGCUAGCAGAUCGCUUGAGCUCAGGAGUUCAAGACCAAUCUGGGCAACAUAGCAAGACCCCAUCUCUAUGAAAAAUACAAAAAAUUAACCGAGUGUGGUGAUGGGCACCUGUGGUCCCAACUACUCUGGAGGCUGAGGUGGGAGGAUCACUUGAGCCCAGGAGGUGGAGGCUGCAGGGAGCCAAGAUCGUGCCACUGUGUACCAGAUUGGGGCCUGGGUGACAGAGUGAGACCUCAUCUCAAAUAUAAAACAAAACAAAACAAAAAGGCCAGGCACAGUGGCUCACGCCUGUAAUCCCAACAUUUUGGUAGGCUGAGGCAGGUUGAUCACUUGAGGUCAGGAGUUCGAGACCAUUCUGACCAACAUGCCAAAAUCCCAUCUCUACUAAAAAUACAAAAAUUAGCCGGGCGUGGUGGUACCUGUAAUCCCAGGUACUUGGGAGGCUGAGGCAGCAGAAUUGCUUGAACCUGGGAGGCGGAGGUUCCAGUGAGUCAAGAUCACGCCGCUGCACUCUAGCCUGGGUGACAGAGUGAGACUCCAUCUCAAAAAAAAAAAAGAAGUGAAAAAACAAAAAAAAAAAAAAGAAAGAAAAAAGAAAUUCUGCCUUAGGCCAUUUAACUAAUGAGAGUAACCCACUGUCAGUAUAUUUUUAUUUUUACUUUUAACAGUUUCACUGAUGUGAAAUAUAAUGAACAUACCAUAAAUUUCACCAAAGUAUAUAAUUUAAUUGUCUUUAAUAUAUUCACAGAGUUGUGCAGCUAUGACUAUAGUCUAAUUUUAGAACAUUUUAUCAUCCCCAAAAGACACCCCAUUAGCAGGCACUUCCCAUUUCUCCUUCUCUCCAGCCUCUGGUAGCCACUGAUCUACUUUUUGUCUCUAUAGAUUUGCCUAGUCUGGAUAUUUCACAUAAAUGGAUCAAACAAUAUGUAACCUCCUGUGUUUUUCUUCUUUCACUUAGCAUAAUGUUUUCAAGGUUCAUCCAUGUUAUAGUAUUUAUCAGUACUUCAUUUUUAAAAAAUUCUUUGCGGGUACACGGUAGGUGUAUAUAUUUAUUUAUGGGGUACAUGAGAUACUUUGAUGGAAGCAUGCAAUGUGUAGUAAUCACAUCAUGAUAAAUGGGGUAUCUGGCUGGGCGCAGUGGCUCAUGCCUGUAAUCCCAGCACUUUGGGAGGCCGAGACGGGCAGAUCACAAGGUCAAGAGAUUGAGACUAUCCUGGACAACAUGGUGAAACCUCAUCUCUACUAAAAAUACAAAAAUUAGCUGGGCGUGGUGGUGCAUGCCUGUAGUCCCAGCUACUUGGGAGGCUGAGGCAGGAGAAUUGCUUGAACCAAGGAGGCGGAGGUUGCAGUGAGCCAAGAUUUCCCCACUGCACUCCAGCCUGGCAACAGAGUGAAACUCCACCUCAAAAAAAAAAAAAAGCGGGGACGGUGGGGGGGUGGUUAUCCAUCCCCUGAAGCAUUUAUCCUUUGUGUUACAAACAAUCCAACUAUACUCAAGCGAUCCCCCUGCCUCAGCCUCCUGAGUUGCUGAGACUACAAGCAUACACCACCACUCUUGGCUAAUUUUUUUAAAAAUUAUUUUUUGAAGAAACAAGGUCUAACUAUAUUGCCAGGCUGGUCUCAAACUCCUGGGCUCAAGCGAUCCUUCUGCCUCAAACUCCCAAAGUGCUGAGAUUACAGGCCUAAGCCACCACACCUAGCCUCUUUUAGUUUUUAGUUUUUUGUUUUUUGAGACAGAGUCAUGCUCUAUCAUCCAGGUUGGAGUUCAAUGGCACGAUCUCAGCUCCCUGCAACCUCUGCCUCCCGGGUUCAGGCAAUUUUCCUGCCUCAGCCUCCGGAGUAGCUGGAAUUACAGUCAUGCACCACCACACCCAGCUAAUUUUUGUAUUUUUUUAAUGAAGACGGCGUUUCACCAUGUUGGCCAGACUGGUCUUGAACUCCUGACCUCAAGUGAUCCACCCGUCUUGGUCUCCCAAAGUGCUGGGAUUACAGGCAAGAGCCACCACACCCAGCCUCUUUUAUUUUAAAAUGUACAAUUAAGUUAUUAUUGAUUAUAGUUACCCUGUUGCGCUAUCAAAUAGUAGGUCUUACUUAUUCUUUUUGACUGGGGCCUGGGUGAUAGGGAGAGACCUCAUAUCAAAUUAAAAAAAAAAAAAAAGGCCAGGUAUAGUGGCUCAUGCCUGUAUUUCCAGCACGUUGGGAGGCCAAGAUGAGUGGAUCACUUGAGGUCAGGAGUUUGACACCAGCCUGGUAGACACUGAGUACUUUUUGUACCCAUUAACUAUUCCUACUUCCCCCUAGCUGUCCCACUAUCCUUCCCACCCUCUGGUAACCAUCCUUCUAUUCACUAUCCAUCAGUCCAGUUGUUUUAAUUUUUAACUCCCAUAAAUAAACGAGAACAUGUGAUGUUUGUCUUUCUGUGCCUGGCUUAUGUCCCUUAGAUAAUGAUCUCCAGUUCAUCCAGGUUGUUGCAAAUAAUAGGAUCUCAUUCUUUUUUAAUGACUGAGUAGUGCUUUAUUGUCUAUAUGUACCAUAUUUUCUCUACCCUUUCAUCUGGGUUUUUUUUUUUUUUUGGUUUUUGGUUUGUUUGUUUUGUUUUGUUUUGAGACAGAGUCUCCCUCUGUCGCCCAGGCUGGAGUGCAGUGGCACAGUCUUGGCUCACUGCAACCUCCACCUCCUAGGUUCAACUGAUUCUCCUGCCUCAGCCUCCCAAGUAGCUGGGAUUACAGGUGCCUGACACCAUGCCUAGCUAAUUUUUGUCUUUUUAGUAGAGACAGGGUUUCACCAUGUUGGCCAGGCUGGUCUUGAACUCCUAACCUCAGUGAUCCGCCCACCUGGGCUUCCCAAAGUGCUGGGAUUACAGGUGGGAGCCACCGCACCUGGCCCAUUCAUCUGUUAAUGGACACUUAGGUUGCUUCCAAAUCUUGGCUAUUAUGAACAGUGCUGCAAAAAACAUGGGAGUGCAGGUAUUUCCUCAAUAUACUGAUUUUCUUUCUUUUCGAUAUAUACCCAGCAGUGGGAUUGCUGGAUCAUAUGGUAGCUAUAUUUUUAGUUUUUUGAGGAACCUCCAUACUGUUUUCUAUAGUGGUUCUACUAACUUACAUUCCCACCAAGAGUAUACAAGGGUUUCCUUUUCUCCACAUCCUCAGCAGCAUAAAUGCCAUUUUAACUGGAGUGAAAUGUUAUCUCAUUGUAGUUUUGAUUUGUAUUUCUCUGAUGAUCAGUGAUGUUGAGCACCUUUUCAUAUGUCUGUUUGCCAUUUGCAUGUCUUCUUUUGAGAAAUGUCUAUUCAGAUUUUUUCCUACAGAGUUGUUUGAGCUCCUUAUAUAUUCUCGUCAUUAAUCCCUUGUCAGAUGGGUAGUUUGCAAAUAUUUUCUCCCAUUCAGUGGAUUGACUCUUCACUUGGUUGAUUGUUUCCUUUGCUGUGCAGAACCUUUUUAACUUAAUGUAAUCCCACUUGUCCAUUUUUGCUUUGGUUGUCUGUACCUAUAGAGUAUUACUCAAGAAAAUUUUUGCCCAGAUCAAUGUCCUGGAGAACCUCCCCAAUAUUUUCUUGUAAUAGUUUCAUAGUUUGAGCUCUUACAUUUGAGUCUUUAACCCACUUUGAUUUGAUGUUUGUAUGUGGCAAGAGAUAGGGGUCUAGUUUCAUCCUUCUGCAUAUGGAUAUCCAAUUUUCCCAGCACUAUUUAUUAAAGAGACUGUCCUUUCCCCAAUGUAUGUUCUUGGCACCUUUGUCAAAAAUUAGUUCACUGUAGGUGCAUAGAUUUGUGUCUGGGUUCUCUGUUCUGUUCCAUUGGCCUACAUGUCUGCUUUUAUGCAAGUAUUAUGCAGUUUUGGUUACUGUAGCUCUGUAGCAUAAUCUGAAGUAAGGUAAUGUGAUUCCUCCAGUUUUGUUCUUUUUGCUUAGGAUAGCUUUGGCUAUUUUGGGUCUUUUGUGGUUCCAUUUAAAUUUUAGAAUUUUUUUCUAUUUCUGUGAAAAACAUCAUUGGUGUUUUGAUAGGGAUUGCAUUGAGUCUUUAGAUUGCUUUGGGUAGUAUGGACCUUUUAACAAUUUCAAUUCUUCCAAUCCAUGAACAUGGAAUAUCUUUCCAUUUUUUUAAUGCCCUCUUCAAUUUUUUCAUCAGUGUUUUAUAGGUUUGCAGUUUUCAUUGUAGAGCUCCUUCACUUCUUUGGAUAAGUUAAUUCUCAUGUAUUUAAUUUUAUUUGUGGCUAUUGUAAAUGGGAUUUUUUUUUUUUAAUUUGUUUUUCAGAUUGUUCACUGUUGGCAUAUAGAAAUGUUACUGAAUUUUGGCUAGGGGCAGUGGCUCAUGCCUAUAAUCCCAGCACUUUGGGAGGCCAAAGCAGGUGGGUCACCUGAGGUCAGGAGUUCAAGACCAGCCUGGCCAACAUAGUGAAACCCCAUCUCUACUAAAAAUACAAAAAUUAGCUGGGCAUGGUGGUGCACACCUGUAAUUCCAGCUACUCAGGAGGCUGAGGCAGGAGAAUUGCUUAAACCUGGGAGGCAAAGGUCGCAGUUAGUCAAGAUUACACCACUGCACUCCAGCCUGUGUGACAGAGCAAGACUCCAUCUCAAAAAAAUGCUACUGAAUUUUGUAUGCUGGUUUUGUAUCCUGCAACUUUACUAAGUUUGUCAGUUCUGAUAGUUUUUUUGGUGGAAUCUAAAUUUUCCAAAUAUAAGAUCAUAUCAUCUGAAAACCAGGAUAAUUUUAUUUCUUCCUUUCCAAUUUGGAUGCCCUUUAUUUUUUUCUCUUGCCUGAUUGCUCUAGCUAGGACUUCUAGUACUUUGCUGAAUAAUGGUGCUGAAAGUGAGCCUCUUUGUCAUGUUCCAGAUCUUGGAGGAAAGACUUUCCAUUUUCCCCAUUCAUUAUGAUAAUAGCUGUGGGUCUGUUGUAAUUGGCUUUUAUUAUGCUGAGGUAUGUUCCUUCUAUACCUAGUUUGUGGAGGAUUUUUAUCAUGAAGCAAUGCUGAAUUUUAUCAUAUGCUUUUUCAGCAUCAAUUGAAAUGAACAUAUGGUUUGUGUCCUUCAUUCUACUGAUGUGAUGUAUCACAUUGAUUGAUUUGCAUAUGCUGAAACAUCUUUGCAUCCCUGGGAUAAAGCUUGACCAUGAUGAAUGAUCUUUCUAAUAUGUUGUUGAAUUCAGUUUGCUAGUAUUUUGUUGAGGAUUUUUGCAUCAAUAUUAAUCAGUGAUAUUGGCCUUUAGAAUUAGUGAGCUUGAAGAUAGGCUAUUUGAAAAUGCAGUCAGAAGAGACAAAAGAAAAAAAGAAUAAAAAAUAAUGAAGCAUGCC
rnacentral:lncRNA from 1 species